rnacentral:lncRNA from 1 species
UUAGGUACAUUAGGUAGUAGUGUAAACAAAAUUUGCAGGCUAGAAGAAUAUGCAUUGAGGUUUUUGGGGACUGUUAGGGAAGAAAUGGCGUAUCUCCCAUGGCUGAGACACUCGUACGUUUGUCCGGAGAUGUAUCUCCUGAUUUGCUCUGUAUUGUUUUUGGAGAUACAUCUCCGGAUUGGACUCAUAAAAAUGGGUGAACUUAUUUGGACAUGUUAU